rnacentral:rRNA from 1 species
GAUAAACGCUGGCGGCGUGCAUAACACAUGCAAGUCGAACGAUGAAGAUUAAAAGAUUUCUUCGGAAUGAACUUAAUUGGAUUAGUGGCGGACGGGUGAGUAACGCGUGAGUAACCUGCCUUGUACAAGGGGAUAGCCGUUGGAAACGACGAAUAAUACCCUAUGACAUCAAAUAAUCGCAUGAUAAUUAGAUCAAAGAUUUAUCGGUAUAAGAUGGACUCGCGUCUGAUUAGCUAGUUGGUAGAGUAAAAGCCUACCAAGGCAACGAUCAGUAGCCGGCUUGAGAGAGUGUACGGCCACAUUGGGACUGAGACACGGCCCAGACUCCUACGGGAGGCAGCAGUGGGGAAUUUUGCACAAUGGGGGAAACCCUGAUGCAGCGACGCCGCGUGAUUUAGAAGGCCUUCGGGUUGUAAAAAUCUUUUGUAUGGGAAGAAAAUGACAGUACCAUACGAAUAAGGACCGGCUAAUUACGUG